rnacentral:lncRNA from 1 species
CCUGAAUUCUCUUCUCUCUCCACCAUACUUGGUGUCCAUGGGUACAAUAUUGCCCUUUUUCAAUUUCCCUCAGGAAAACUCUUGUUUCCAGGGGAGAAGAGAAGACCAGCUGCCUGGCUGUAUGAGGCAGCCUUGCAGUUUCUAAGAUUGUGUUGGAGGUUCACAGGCUUCGUUGGGGUGACAGCCACAAAGCCCAGGAAGAAGUCAGGGAUCUCACGCUUUGGACUUGGGGAGUGUGACCUAGCAAACAAGCUGUGGUGGAGAUGGGCCCCUGUACCACCACUGGAACAACGGGCAACCACAGGGCACUGAGUGCUGUGCUGACACAGUGCAGAGUCCCUGCCUGGGGAAAGAGUGUUUGGGUUGUCAGGAAAUUAGAGGCUUUGUUCAAAGACAGGAAAAGAAAACCAAAACCCAGAUCUAGGAGUUGAAGGAAAGAGAAUUCCAGGACUGCAGUGAGGUUGUGGCUUUGUUGUGUCUUUUUGUUUCAGUGGUGCCGAAAUAAUA